GUCAGAGACAGCAUAAAUCCAAAGUUCCUUUCAAUGGCUUGGGGUGGGGCUCAGGAGGAAGAGGUCCAGGAUUGCAUGCUGCAUUUCGGCAGGGCCUUUCUAACUUAUUCCAACAACUUCACUGACAGCACUGAACCCCACCACUUUGCCAGUGAAGCCAUCCGCCCACCUAGGGUACAUGACACUAGCAUGACUCCAUCAGGCAACUCCAGAAGUGAAAAUCCUUUCAGUUGCUCAGAUCCUUUUCAGAGCGGCUAUCGCGGGGGGUCCAAAUCUCAGUAUUUGGACCCCAUUUCCAACAUAAGCUCCCACAUGAAUACGGAGCAUACAGCCAAAUCAAAAUAUUGCAGCCAGCACAAUUUGGACCAGAGGUCAAGAACGUUCAGGUUUAACGAGUCAGACAGCUUAGACAUGGACUAUUUCACAACUCGACUCACUGACCUGGUUAGCACUGACCAAUGCAGACUUAACGAAGGAGAACAGUGGGUAAAUGCUGCCAUCGACAUGAGAACAAGGGGAUCUUGCGGCCAUGGUCCAACAAAGACGUAUGGAAGGGGCAGCGAGGGGGAGAUGCCCAAAGAAGCUGAACUACCUUUCAUCCCCAAGCCACAGGACAGCUGCACACAUGAGCCAGGAUACAGAUGCAAUUGUCAGAGCAGUGGCACAGGUUCCGCCCAAACUUUUCCCAGGCUGUUCCACAGCACUCAAGGAGCUUCUGAAUACACACUAAAGGAUUCAGCAGAGCAGGCUGCUCCAGAGGCAUUUGGUAGUUUAAAACCAUUUCCAGACACUUUCCAAAACCAAUCAUACAACCCCUUUGGACACCACUUUAUUGGUCCAACUCCCAUCUCCCUCCAAAAUGGCUGUUCUCGUACUCAAACUACUAUACCGAGUGUAAAAAGUGGGCCUUACUGGAGCAGUAACCGUUUUGUGGGUGUGGCCAGAUCUUUCCCAGCCCCGAGCCCAAAAACCCACCUCCAUCAGAUACUGACUCCACCACUUGAAGAGGGUUGGCUGUUCGAUGAUAUAACUGAGGGACAAGUAACUGAAAGUACCGAAGUACUGAAAACUGCCUCUUGAGGGAGAACACACAUAGCACACUGAAGCUGUCGUGAAAAUAUUUGUUGGGGAGAUACCUGUUUUUGUUUUCGUUUCGUUAUCCUUUUUCAUAGUAUUAUGAGAUCCUUACAAAUAUGUUCAUCAUUGUGUAUAUUUAAAAUGGGUUUUAAAGGAUAGGUAUCAUUGGUGGUCACAACACGAGCAUAAGUAUUUCAGCAUUUUUCAGUACAUUAUGAAUGAUACUUUAAAAAAUGCAUCACAUGUCACAGGUUAUAUAUAUGUGGAAGAAAUUAGUUAACACAAAAAUUUUUGAAUCAUCACCAUAUAUUGAAACUCAUUCUUGU
rnacentral:lncRNA from 1 species